AUUCGUUGAAAAUCAUCCUCAGCUUUGGCCUGUGGCUGGGGAUGAGAUUCGGAGCCCAGAGGCCUCAGCUCACUGUCCCCUGCCCCAGUGUGGGAGGGUGAAACCCAGGCCCCUACAUUC